GACGAACCGUCCGAACGUUAUUCGGUAUCACUGGGCUUAAAGAGUUCGUAGGCGGCCCGACAGGUGAGGUGUGAAAUCCCUCGGCUCAACCGAGGAAUUGCGCUUCAAACCGUCAGGCUUGAGGGAGAUAGAGGUGAGCGGAACAGAUGGUGGAGCGGUGAAAUGCGUUGAUAUCAUCUGGAACACCGGUGGCGAAAGCGGCUCACUGGAUCUUUUCUGACGCUGAGGAACGAAAGCUAGGGUAGCGAACGGG
rnacentral:rRNA from 2 species